rnacentral:lncRNA from 1 species
UGGGUUGAAACAGUUUUCAAGUUUGAAAGACAGUGCAUUUGUGAAUCUGGAAUAUCUUGGUGAACUAUGUUCCCUCUUAGGAUAAGGUGUUUUAGCCUAUUCAACAUCCAUGUUUCAUAAGGUACAUGAAUCCCAUUUUCUUUUCUGUUAUGUACAAUAAGGGUCUCUAGAAAAAUAAGACUAUUCAUUGAAUUGGGUAAACUGAGAUCGACGAAACCUCUGUGGUCAUCGACAGGCUUAAUGCAAAGUGCAACAUAUCUUAAUGUAAGUAGAGAUACCAUUACAUGGGGAACAUUAGAUAACCCAGUACCUGAUAAAUCUAGAACCCUUAGAACUCUGAAUGCCCCGAGAGCGUAAAAAUCAUAGCAAUCAGCGUAAAAGGACAGUGAUGCAUUGCAGCACAAUAUUGUAUUAACCUUUAGGGAAUCUGUAGAUUUAUUUAAUAAAGUUUCAUAUGGUGAAAAUAAAUUUUCAAGUUGAAAGUACCUUGUAAGUUCCAAUAUGAAAUUCUUCUCACUGUCAGAUCCAGAGUAUACUCUCUUGACCGUGCUUUUGGUAGGAGUAUUAGAAACAUGUAGUUGGUAUCUUGGAAGUUGCUGUAAAAAAUUUGCCUUGCUUGCUCUUUGAAUGCAAAAAUCACGCAACACAUCAUGAACGAUACACGCUUUGAUUCCACCAUUAGACCCGGUUUUGGAAACCAUUACCAGACUUCUAGAGAUCAGAUUGUUCAAGUAACCUGCUGCUACCUUUUCCAAACUGUUUUCCUCAUCUUCCGGAAACUUUUCUGUUGUUUGGGUAGUUUUGAUGAGUCCCUCAGCCAUCCAUAACAAAAUUAACUUCCAUGCAGGUAUUUCAUAAUCCUCUGGGAAGGCUGCGAAGUAGAGGAAACAUGGUUUGAGAUGAUUUGGCAAAUGUUUAUAGCUGAGUUCUACAGUCUUCAUGUGCUGUUCUGGGGCAUUACUUACAUUAGAACUCGUAUCUUCGCCAACUUGAUUCCACCAGUUUGCUGUCUGGUCACUUGCAAGGAUUCCGGCCAUCACAACAAGUGAAAGUGGUAGCCCCUUGCAAUUUCUAGCAAUCUCUUGUCCAAUCUUAAUCAAAGAUGUUGGACAACUGUCUUCAAGAAACACCCUGUACCUGAGUAAAUUCCAGCUUUCUUCGUGACUUAAGAACCGCAAAGGAUACUUGUAGCACCCAGGAUGAACUUUAAAUGGCACGUCUGCAAGUCGAGAUGUGAAUACUAUUCUACUUCCGAGAUUGUCAUCUGGAAAACACAACAUCAGGUCGUUCCAGUCCUUACUAUCCCAUAUGUCGUCCAUGACAACAAGAUAUCUCUGACCGCUUAGCCUCCUUUUCAAGGUUGCUCUUAAUUCCAUGUCACUCUCAUUCUUAUUAUCAACAUCAAAACCUGAUUUUAAGAUGCCAAGCAGGAGAUCUCUCUUUUUAGGCUCUUGAGUAACAGUUGUCCAGGCGCGAACGUGGAAGUGAUAUUCAAUUAAAGGUUCAGUAAAGACUUUUCUGACCAAAGUAGUCUUACCUAGUCCAGCCAUGCCAAAAACUGAGAUAAACUGAAGCUGCUUCCUCCCUCCCUUAAGUUUCUCGAUUAGAAUCCUUGCAUCCUCGUCAUAACCAACCACAGUUGUGCUUCUUGCAUCACGUUGACUCCCAACUUUCUGAAAACUACUAUUCGAGGUUUCCAUGUAUGAGGUGUUUUUAGAUGAUCGAAUCUGUUAAGUAUCUGAUGCUAUGUUGAAAAAGAUUUAUAAGUCAUCUGAUCAGUGUGUUUGACUUUGCUUUGUUCUUGGUCUCUUUAGAGAAAAGGUGUUGUGGAUUGGAUCUGGGAUAUAUCUAUUUGAACAUUUGAGUUUACUUCUGCGGCCAAUAUUAUAUGUUUUUCCUCACGGACAUCUAUUUAUCUAGUACUACAGUAUAUCAUAAUGCUGGUCAAUAAUGGAUCAGAAUUCAAGUGUGCCUCUGAUAUGAACAUUUUAGUCAAGCUGUGUGA